rnacentral:lncRNA from 1 species
ACCGAAAUAAAAAUAAAUAAUUAAACUAUCCACGAGUAAGAGUCGCCUCCAAAGCAGAGGCUCUUACAUCUCUCACACCGCCACUUGGAGUUUUUCGAGGACUUCGGACUUAGGCCUUUUGGGAUUUGGAGUUCCGCAGGGUGGAAGCUAAAGGAGGUGCAUCUUAACUACACGGCCCCGGUUUCCUUCACACACAACCCAUUUGGAGCUGGGUCUGGAGAAACCUGUAACAGUCUAUGGCCCUACCACUUGGACGCAUCAUAUCUCAGAAGCUAAACAGAGUCCGGCCUGGCUAGCAUUUGGUUGGAUUAGAGAUUAGUCACCGUGAGGAAGCCAAAUCGGAUCCGGGAGUCUUUUUCUAAAGGCCAGUACUGGCCACAUUUUCUCCUGCCGCCUUCCUCAAAGCUGAAGACAUACAGAGCAAGUUAAGCCUUCUCUCUUCAACUAGCUGUAAGCCGCUUCCCACCACAACUGCUGAGCUCCUAGGCAGCAAUGUGAUCUGCACUGCUUCUGAAGUCUGCACUGAUUCUUGGCAGAAAAAUGACAUCUCUUCCUUCUAAACAAGUGUUAAAACAGCUAACAUUCUUACAUGUAUACAUUUAGCAGACAUGCAUUGUACAUUCACUGUAUCAUCUGUCUCCUUCCUGAUACUUGGUUGUAUUUCCUACAUAUAGUAGCAAAUCCACACUGAGGCCUAGACCUUGGCCACUGCUCAGUUUCUUUCGACGAAGGGCCCUUGGCUGACACAGGAGUGGGGAAGACAAUUCUCCCAACUACAGGUGGCUGUUGACAAUGCUCUGAGGACGGGAACUGAGGGAGCAUCGCUUUUCUUCCCUAUCUGAAAAAGGUAGAGAUAUUAAUGAACAGAAGAGCCAUCAAAAGAAGGAGGAAAUGGAGAGCAAAGGGAACUGGUAAUGCAGUGGCCAGGAAGGCACCUUUCCUCUGUAGACAAGAGGCAGCUUCAAGGUGUGCUGCUGGCAUUUCCCAGCACGUCCUUUUGUGAAUAAGGCCAGAACCCCAGGAUAGGCUUUAGCGCACUAGCCCUGGGUCCCUACAGUUACGGAUUAAAUAUUUCUGCAAGGCUAACACUAUCUCCACUGUGUCCUACCAUGUUAACUAUAGAUGUGGCAUAGCUUUCUUAAUCAUUCAAGCUUAGGGUCAUGGAAUCUAUGGUUAAAAGAAGACUAACUCACCGGGUAGUCAUGACAAUCACCAAAACUUUUUGCUCCCAAACCAUAAGCCAGAAGUCACGAUAGGUGUUCUCCAAAGGACCUGGAAUGAAAGGACAGGAGGGAGAGCGGGCCUUUAGAAGCAUGUCUGUCUUCCUCUACUUGUCUUCCAAAUAGGAUCUCUGAAGUACAGACUGAAACAGGAUCUCACUCAUAUAGACUCAGACUCACUAUAGUCCAGCCUGUCCUUGAACUCUGUCUCCACCGCCCAAGUACUAAGAUUACAAGUAUUCAUAUGAGCCUUGUCUUAGCUCUCCUUAUUCAGCAAGGUCCUCAAACCAACCAUAUCAUCUCUGUAUGGGUGAGUAUUUUAUAACUAUGGUUCUAGAGGAGUUAAUGCCCUCUUCUGGACUCUCUGAGCACUGCAUGUAUGUAGUGCAUAGACAAAACACCUAUUACAUAAAAUAAAAGGCUGGGGAGAUGGCUCAGCAGUUAAGAGCAAUGACUGCUCUUCUAGAAAUCCUGAGUUCAAGUCUCAGCAACCACAUGGUGGUUUACAACCAUCUGUAAUGGGAUCUGAGGCCCUUUUCUGGUAUGUCUGAAGACAGCUACAGUGUACUCACAUAUAUAAAAUAAAUAAAAGCCGGGCAGUGGUGGCGUAGGCCUUUAAUCCCAGCACUUGGGAGGCAGAGGCAGGCAGAUUUCUGAGUUCGAGGCCAGCCUGGUCUACAGAGUGAGUUCCAGGACAACAGCCAGGGCUACACAGAGAAACCCUGUCUCAAAACAAACUAACUAAUAAAUGAAUAAAAAUUUAAAGAUAAAUUACACUGUACCAAAAAUAAAAGAAAUUAAGUGUUCAGAUUCCAAAGAUUCCAGGUGAGCCGUAUGUAGGAACAUAUGUAGCGCCUGAGGCUCUGUGGCUCAUCAUGUACGGUAGCAAGGGUCAAGUCUAUACCUACCUGUCUGUUUCUACCUCAGUAGCCCUCAGCCUCAUAAUACAGUAACUACUAAACCAGGUUACUUCUGGCCCCCACUGUCUCAAAUCCCAUAGUCUGAACAGAGACCUAGUCUUCAGAAUUCUUUCACUUACUUAUGUACUUUCUCUCCCUCGCCCCCUUUUCCUGUUGUGAGAUGGGAUCUUACUGUGUAACUCAGAGAGGCCUCAAACUUGUGAUCCAAAUAUAGGCAUGUGCCAUCAUGCCAAGUUUUCUUUCUCAACUUUCUUAUCUCUAAUAAUAGGACUUCUAGUAUUCUUGGUUAAAAUUAUUAUUGUCACUGUUGUUUUGUUAGUAAGUGCUGGGGUGUGAUGAGGUGGCAGGCCUGCCAUAGGGCACAUGCAGCCUUGAAAGGACCUGAUUGCUAAGGACUUGUGUUUUAGGAUUGUUUUCUCCUCCACCUUACAUGGUGGAGCCAUCUUUCCAGCCCUGACUCCCACAUUUUACAAGAGUAAAUGAGGGGCUAGAAAGAUGGCUCAGCGGUUAAGAUCAAUGACUGCUCUUCUAGAGGUCCUGAGUUCAAUUCCCAGCAACCAUGUGGUGGUCUGUAAUGAGAUCUGGUGCCUUCUUCCGGUGUCUGAAGAGAACUACAGUGUACUCACAUACAUAUAAUAAAUAAAUACAUCUUUUAAAAAAAA